UACGGGGGGGCAAGCGUUGUUCGGAAUUACUGGGCGUAAAGGGCUCGUAGGCGGCCAACUAAGUCGGAUGUGAAAUCCCCAGGCUUAACCUGGGAACUGCAUCCGAUACUGGAUGGCUUGAAUCCGGGAGAGGGAUGCAGAAUUCCAGGUGUAGCGGUGAAAUGCGUAGAUAUCUGGAGGAACACCGGUGGCGAAGGCGGCAUCCUGGACCGAUACUGACGCUGAGGAGCGAAAGCCAGGGGAGCAAACGGGG
rnacentral:rRNA from 1 species